CCGUAGAGUUGGCUCUUUCUUCCUUCCUUUCUUUCUCUUCCUUCCUUUCUUUCUUUCUUUUUCUAUUUUCUUCUUUUCUCUUUCGAUUCGAAUACAACCAGCCCAAUUGCAUUUCUCUCUCUAUUUCUCCCGUAGAGUUGGUUGUCUUUUCCUUCCUUCCUUUCUUUCUUCUUCUAUUUUCUUCUUUUCUCUUCCGAUUCGAACACAACCAGCCGCAAGAAAGUCAUUUUCUUUGUGCUGUGCAUGUUGCAUUUUUCUGUUUUUAAUAUGAUUCUCUUCUCAUCUUCAUUCUAUUCUUUGGUCUGAUUUUUUGUGGUUUGAUUUUUGGGACAGACUACAGUAACAACGACAGUGCUGAAGGUCAGGAUGGUGUUGAAUAAUAAAGGUGUCAUUUUGAACUAUUUUCCCCCUUUUCUGGGGCUGUUAUUUG
rnacentral:lncRNA from 1 species